CGAGAGCCCGCCCCACCGUCGCCGUUCUCGAGGUCGCUCGGCCGCCGCCGCCAUCUCCUCCGCCGCCUCCUCUGCGGCACCGCCUCAACCACCACCAACAAUCCUAACCCAGGUUUUAUCUUCCGACUGCACAUCAGCUAAACGUUUGAAAUGUGAGCCUCACUAUGACAAAUACUAGUCAUAUAAUAGGAAAUUUUUUCCUUUUCAAUUUGUGGUUGAAACUUUGCUUUUAUUUACAAUCAGAAUACGCAUACACAAUGCAAGUGACUGCUCCAGAAAAUGUUUAUAGCUAUGGAGUUGUAUUGUUUCAUAUUCCCCAAUUUCAAGCGGUGUGUGUUAUGUGAGAUAAGUGCAAGGAGCUUUUAAAUGUUGGAAGGAUACUUUGCUCAUGUCAAAUGCAAAGAUGUUUGUCUGUAAUUUUGUAUAAUCAAAUAGUUAUGUCUCCCCUUUCAUCAACA